UACGGGGGGGGCAAGCGUUGUUCGGAAUUACUGGGCGUAAAGGGCUCGUAGGCGGCCAACUAAGUCAGACGUGAAAUCCCUCGGCUUAACCGGGGAACUGCGUCUGAUACUGGAUGGCUUGAAUCCGGGAGAGGGAUGCGGAAUUCCAGGUGUAGCGGUGAAAUGCUUAGAUAUGACAUAGAACACCAAUUGCGAAGGCAGCUCGCUGCACGAAGAUUGACUCUGAGGCACGAAAGCGUGGGGAUCAAACAGG
rnacentral:rRNA from 1 species